UAAUAGCAUUAUGUACUCUAAACGUACAGGUAGUAACAGGUAAUUGCUAAAUGAGGAAUAAAAAAAAUUCAAUUAAUUCAAAAUGAAAAUUGAAUUGUCAUUAGUCUUGUUGCUGGCAGUAUGUGCAUUUGGUCAAAGUUGUGGACCACCAGGCCGAGUUUGUCGGAAUAGUGGAGAAUGUUGUUUAAAAUAUUGCCAACAUUUCGGUGUAUGCGGACGAGAACCAGACGAAAAUCUCUUGUGGAUUGUCGACAUGACUGUUGGAUUGUUGACGUAAAACAGGCUGAUGGUACUU